rnacentral:rRNA from 1 species
GACGAACCACCCAAACGUUAUUCGGAAUUACUGGGCUUAAAGCGUGCGUAGGCGGCCAUGUAAGUAGGGUGUGAAAUCCCACAGCUCAACUGUGGAACUGCGCUCUAAACUACAUGGCUAGAGGGAUAUAGAGGUGAGCGGAACUGAUGGUGGAGCGGUGAAAUGCGUUGAUAUCAUCAGGGACACCGGAGGCGAAGGCGGCUCACUGGGUCUCUUCUGACGCUGAGGCACGAAAGCUAGGGUAGCGAACGGG